GCACAAUAUUGUGAAGGUACUAAAUGCCACUGAAUUGUUCACUUUCAAGUGGUUAGUUUUAUGUUGUGUUAAAUUUCACCUCAAUUAAAAACAAGCUGCCGUGCAGAGAACUAGGGUGACCUGGGCACUCAGGGAAGGCCCCUUUUUGAGGUAUCGGAGCAGAGCCCUGAGUGCUGAGAAGGAACCAGCCAUGCAGAGGGCUCCAGGCGGAGGGAAGCACGCAAACAGAGGCCCUGAAAUGGGACGCACUUGGCCCUGGUGAGGCACAGCCAGCCAGCCAGUGCGGCUGAAGGGCUGGAUUGUGUCAUCUGCAGAGAGCCGAGGGGAGAGAGGGCUGGGAGCUGAUCCCAAAAGAGGGCAGGGGCCAGACUGCAUGGGACCAUGGGCCACAGAGAGGGGCUGGUGACAGGAGGCGCUGGUGGGUUUUAAGGAGAGAGCAGCAGAAGAGGCAGAGAAGUCCCUGUCCCGGAGUUAACAGGCUGGUGGGGAGCGGCUGAUGGUAAACCAGGCAGAAGCAAGGACUCCAUGCGCUGUGCGGCCUAUGGGGAUGGGCACCAUUGUGGAGGGUGGGAAGUGGUCACGCCCCAGCACCCACGGGCCCUUGAUGGCAAUGGGGUGUACUGAUGAGUUUUCCAGAGGCCACAGAAUGCAUGCUAUCACAACAGACAGAAAACAGAAGCAGAGGAGAAUCCAGAUGUCUUCUAUUAAGCCAG